CCUACGGGCGGCAGCAGUGGGGAAUAUUGGACAAUGGGGGCAACCCUGAUCCAGCCAUGCCGCGUGUGUGAAGAAGGCCCUCGGGUUGUAAAGCACUUUCAGUGAGGAAGAACGCCUGGUGGUUAAUACCCAUCAGGAAAGACAUCACUCACAGAAGAAGCACCGGCUAACUCCGUGCCAGCAGCCGCGGUAAUACGGAGGGUGCGAGCGUUAAUCGGAAUUACUGGGCGUAAAGCGCGCGUAGGUGGCUUGAUAAGCCGGUUGUGAAAGCCCCGGGCUCAACCUGGGAACGGCAUCCGGAACUGUCAAGCUAGAGUGCAGGAGAGGAAGGUAGAAUUCCCGGUGUAGCGGUGAAAUGCGUAGAGAUCGGGAGGAAUACCAGUGGCGAAGGCGGCCUUCUGGACUGACACUGACACUGAGGUGCGAAAGCGUGGGUAGCAAACAGGAUUAAAUACCCUUGUAGUC
rnacentral:rRNA from 1 species